GAGCGGCGGACGGGUGAGUAACGCGUGAGGAACCUGCCUCAAAGAGGGGGACAACAGUUGGAAACGACUGCUAAUACCGCAUAAGCCCACGGCUCGGCAUCGAGCAGAGGGAAAAGGAGCAAUCCGCUUUGAGAUGGCCUCGCGUCCGAUUAGCUAGUUGGUGAGGUAACGGCCCACCAAGGCAACGAUCGGUAGCCGGACUGAGAGGUUGAACGGCCACAUUGGGACUGAGACACGGCCCAGACUCCUACGGGAGGCAGCAGUGGGGAAUAUUGCACAAUGGGGGAAACCCUGAUGCAGCGACGCCGCGUGGAGGAAGAAGGUCUUCGGAUUGUAAACUCCUGUUGUUGGGGAAGAUAAUGACGGUACCCAACAAGGAAGUGACGGCUAACUACGUGCCAGCAGCCGCGGUAAAACGUAGGUCACAAGCGUUGUCCGGAAUUACUGGGUGUAAAGGGAGCGCAGGCGGGAAGACAAGUUGGAAGUGAAAUCUAUGGGCUCAACCCAUAAACUGCUUUCAAAACUGUUUUUCUUGAGUAGUGCAGAGGUAGGCGGAAUUCCCGGUGUAGCGGUGGAAUGCGUAGAUAUCGGGAGGAACACCAGUGGCGAAGGCG
rnacentral:rRNA from 1 species